rnacentral:lncRNA from 12 species
AUGGAGAUGGGUGUAACCACAAGAUGGAACAGCCUGGGUGUCAGGCGUGCUUGGAAGGGAGUUGUUGGGAAGAGCCCCAGUACCUGCAGCCAACUUUGUGUAUUGCUAUGUAGCCCUCCUGAGAAAGUUGUGCAGAGAAGUGUACCUGCUUUUCUACAACCUCACCAACUCAGAUGUGUCAUCAAACUUUUUGAUAUUUACCUAAUGGUAAAAGAUGAAAAUGAUAUUGCAUUACUUAAAAUUGUAUUUUCCUCAUUAUGAUGAAGCUAAGCAUCUUUUCUUUUCAUUUUAUUUACUUUUUGGGAAGAUUUUAUUUUUUUAAGUAAUCUCUACACUCAAUAUGGGGCUUGAACUCACAACCCUGAAGUCAAGAAUUGCAUACUUUACCAAAUAAGCCAGCCAGCUGCCCCAACAUCUUUUCAUUGGUAUAAGAUUUAUUUAAAUGUCCUUUCCUGGGAACUAUCCAUACUUUAUUUUUUGGCCCCUUUUUCUCUUGUGGGUUGGUCAUCUUCAUAUCAAGUAAAGACUCUUGGCAUAUUAGGAAAUUAGGCCUUGUCUGAUAUAUAAAUUCCAAAAAUUGGGGAGCUUGAUGUCCAUGAAAUAAAGAUUGCAUUUCCUACA